rnacentral:lncRNA from 1 species
UGAAAUCCCAUUCUUCUCUAAAACGCUCUCAAGCCUAACCCUAAUCUGACCUCACUGACACUCAUCUAUGGCUAUCUACGAUGAUUUCUCACCUCCCCCAGGCCUCUAAUGGCCUCCCUCACAUUAGUAUUUCCAUCUCUAGGGUCCUCAAGGGACCAUGGUAAGAUGGCUUGGAUCUAUGGUCCCUUUCUUGCUUGUUUCAGGCUACUCCAAUGUGAUUCUGAGUAAGAUCGUCCUAUAUUGACUAUGAUCCAUGGGUUUCUAAGCACUUUUCUUCAUCUCUGUAUUGUUCUCCUCAA